GGGAUUGCCUCAGUAACGGCGAGUGAAGCGGCAACAGCUCAAAUUUGAAAUCUGGGGCCUUCGGCUCCCGAGUUGUAAUUUGUAGAGGAUGCCUCGGGGGGUGCUUCGGCCCAAGUUCCUUGGAACAGGAUACCACAGAGGGUGAGAGUCCCGUAUCCGGCCGGCAGUACCCUCCGCGCGAGGCUCCUUCGACGAGUCGAGUUGUUUGGGAAUGCAGCUCUAAGCGGGUGGUAAAUUCCAUCUAAAGCUAAAUACUGGCCAGAGACCGAUAGCGAACAAGUAGAGUGAUCGAAAGAUGAAAAGCACUUUGAAAAGAGAGUCAAACAGUACGUGAAAUUGUUGAAAGGGAAGCGUAUGGGGGCAGACUUGGCCGCGGGGUUCAGGGUGUCUUUUGGCGCCUGUACUUCCCCGUGGGCAGGCCAGCAUCGGUUUUGGGGGUUGGAUAAAGGCGUCGGGAAUGUGGCUCCCCUCGGUGAGUGUUAUAGCCCGUCGCGCAAUGCAGCCACCCGGGAUCGAGGACCGCGCUUCGGCAAGGAUGCUGGCGUAAUGGCCUCAUACGGCCCGUCUUGAAACACGGACCAAGGAGUCUAACAUCUAUGCGAGUGUUUGGGUGUCAAGCCCGAGCGCGCAAUGAAAGUGAACGGAGGUGGGAGCCCGUAAAAAGGCGCACCAUCGACCGAUCCUGACGUCUUCUGAGGGAUUUGAGUAAGAGCAUAGCUGUUGGGACCCGAAAGAUGGUGAACUAUGCGUGAAUAGGGUGAAGCCAGAGGAAACUCUGGUGGAGGCUCGCAGCGG
rnacentral:rRNA from 2 species